rnacentral:rRNA from 1 species
CAACGUGAGGAACCUACCUUCAAGUGGGGAAUAACUGCCAGAAAUGGCCGCUAAUACCGCAUGUGGUUGUCUGUUGGCAUCUUCGGACAACUAAAGAUUUAUCGCUUGGAGACGGCCUCGCGGCCUAUUAGCUAGUUGGUGGGGUAACGGCCUACCAAGGCGAUGAUGGGUAGCUGGUCUGAGAGGACGAUCAGCCACACUGGGACUGAGACACGGCCCAG